GGCUGCACGCGCGCUACACUGACACGAUCAACAAGUAUUUCCUUGCCCGGUAGGGUUAGGGUAAUCUUUUGAAAUCGUGUCGUGCUAGGGAUAGACGAUUGCAAUUAUUCGUCUUCAACGAGGAAUUCCUAGUAAAUGCAAGUCAUCAGCUUGCGUUGAUUACGUCCCUGCCCUUUGUACACACCGCCCGUCGCUCCUACCGAUUGAGUGAUCCGGUGAGCUGUCCGGACUGCGAUUAGUUCAGUUUCUGUUCUCUUCGCGGGAAGUUCUGCAAACCUUAUCACUUAGAGGAAGGAGAAGUCGUAACAAGGUUUCCGUAGGUGAACCUGCGGAAGGAUCAUUC
rnacentral:ncRNA from 1 species